UGAUGGUGGUAAGGAAAAUUUCUAAGCAUACCCUUAGAUCUUUCCCAAGCUUGGUAAAGAUUUUCUCCUUUUUUUGCCUGAAACUCAAAAUCUCACUUCUCAAAUA
rnacentral:snoRNA from 1 species